rnacentral:rRNA from 1 species
GUAGGUGGCAAGCGUUGCCCGGAAUUAUUGGGCGUAAAGCGCGCGCAGGCGGUUCUUUAAGUCUGAUGUGAAAGCCCACGGCUCAACCGUGGAGGGUCAUGGAAACUGGAGAACUUGAGUACAGAAGAGGAAAGCGGAAUUCCACGUGUAGCGGUGAAAUGCGCAGAGAUGUGGAGGAACACCAGUGGCGAAGGCGGCUUUCUGGUCUGUAACUGACGCUGAGGCGCGAAAGCGUGGGGGAGCAAACAGGAUUAGAUACCCUGGUAGUCCACGCCGUAAACGAUGAGUGCUAAGCGUUAGGGGGUUUCCGCCCCUUAGUGCUGCAGCUAACGCAUUAAGCACUCCGCCCUGGGAGUACGGCCGCAAGGCUG